GUAUGUCCAUUUAGCUCAUCUAGCCUAUCUAAUAAGUUACUCAUUUAGCAUGAUUAGGAUUUAACAUGGAUAGUAACUCACGUUACCUGUCCCCUUAAGCUACCUAUUUAAUAGAAGUCUAAUAGCCCAUAACUUGAUAAAUCAAACCUAUGGUGACAAAGAUCGAGAAUCAACUGGCUAAAAUAUGGAGAUAAAAAUAUCAAGUAUUUUCAUGCUUAUGCCUCUAAUAGGAGAAGGAAAAACUUUAUCUCAAGCAUUGAACGCCAAG
rnacentral:lncRNA from 1 species